ensembl:snoRNA SNORD115 Small nucleolar RNA SNORD115
GGGUUAAUGAUGAGACUUCACACUGUCUCAAAGUAUCUUAGUGACUAAAAUUCAUGCUCAAUAGGAUUGUACUGAGGCCC